AACCUACGGGGGGCAGCAGUGGGGAAUAUUGGGCAAUGGGCGCAAGCCUGACCCAGCAACGCCGCGUGAAGGAAGAAGGCCCUCGGGUUGUAAACUUCUUUUAUUCGGGACGAAACAAAUGACGGUACCGAAUGAAUAAGCCACGGCUAACUACGUGCCAGCAGCCGCGGUAAUACGUAGGUGGCAAGCGUUGUCCGGAUUUACUGGGUGUAAAGGGCGUGCAGCCGGAGAGACAAGUCAGAUGUGAAAUCCACGGGCUCAACCCGUGAACUGCAUUUGAA
rnacentral:rRNA from 1 species